UCUCCACAGACUCCAGCAAACAAAACUUUGUGACUUUUUGACUGACGUAGCCGGUUACUAGAUGGAGCGGUAAUUCAGAGCUUUCUAAUGCGAGAGUCUAUUCCAUUCGGAGGCUGAGUGUCGCGAGAGUGAAUCUCUAUGUCUCUGUACCUUUGCAACAUUUCACUACUGGCUUUGGUAUAAGUGAGAAGAACUCAAGAUCAGCCGGCGUUUCGCUCAACCGAAAUCUCUUUCCCGUAACCCUAUAAGACAAAGCACUGGCAAGGUAACUGCUCGGCUGAUAAUGAAUUGGAGAACGAGGACGCCGUGGUCAGCUGCCCCACACCAUGUAGUGUUUGUUAUCCUACUGAGCUUGGCAAUGCUCCGAAAACGCACUGUCCUGGCAGAGGGUCGGUGGGACGCCUCGGUGAAUGGUCCCGAUGGAGACCGAUAUCAGAAUCAGGGCGAUCGCACAAUGGUAGAGAAAUCCAGAAAUCCAGAUCAGUCGGAGUCUCGUACAGUUGUUGUGGACAGUGUGUCGAAGCAACGUGAUUGUGGGUUCAAUCUUCUCGCACGGAUUGUAGCGGUGAACAGCUGUGAUAGAUGUCCUGUCACUAAAGCUAGGAUUGUUAUGGCGGCAAACUACCUGCACGGGUUUGCGAACAGCGAAGCCAGCACAAAGCGCGAUGGCACACGAUACAAUGUGGCGAGAGAGUAUCUUCUUCAACAAUGUGUGGCUUCGGAGAGCCAGACUAAGACCGUUGAUGCCGCAGCAGAGACAGAAAAUCCUGACGUUGGCGUGUUGGAGUUGUUGGAAAGCAUUCCACAACGAACAUGGGAGAUAUUGUCAGAAGUGAAUGAAGGAAUGGUCAGCGACGAAUCUCUGGCGCAAGCGUCUGUCGUUCAGCUGCUGUUCCCGGAGAUAGAGGAUAAGUGUUGUGGGGAUCCAGCUGGAUGCAGUCACAACGACAUUGCCAACUACUGCAUCUGAAAAUUCACACAAGUUAGGUCAAAUUGUAACAUUUUGUCGGUAUCGAUUCCCGGCGGAACACCGGUAAACUAAGCAAUGCCGUGGACUAUGCCACGACCACGCACACUGGAAAAACGCCUGAAUCUGGCUACAAGGCCGUUGAUUGUGUAAAGAGAAAUACUUUUUCCUAUGCCUAUCGAGUGGUCUAGCCCAGAGGUCAUCAAGAGUGGUGUGAGGAUUUACGAUUGUAAUGAACGGCGGAGUCUUUCCAUCUUGAGAAUUGCUAUCUUUUGAAUCAGGUUUUCUCGGUAGAUUUUUCAUUUUCAUAUUUGCUCAGUAAACCGACCAAUGCGUUCAGUGCAUAGCAAGCAGACUUAGAGACGGCUACACGCACUGUACGAGUAGUGUAUGCCUUCAUGAUGUAUUCUCUGCCUGUCUAGUCCGCCUUUGAAUUUGUCACUCUCCCCACUCUCUGUUCAACUCUCUCCUCUGUUUGUCUGUCUCUCUGUGGGUCUGUCUCUCUGUGGGUCUGUCUUUCUGUCUGUUGGUCUGUCUGCCUGGAUGGCUAGAUCUCUGUCGGUCUGUCUGUCUAUUCCUCUCUCUCCUUCUCUCAUUUCCAAAUAUCCGCGACCUGUAUUAUUAUAAUUGUACAUGUACAUGUAUGUGACUAUGUGUACAUGUACAUGUGUAUGUGACUAUGUGUAACAAGGUGUAGUAUCCUAUUCGUUUUGUGAGAAUAUACAUGUACAGCUAAAAUUGAUUUGAUUUCUAUUCUAAAUUUGAUUAUUUACAAAUAUUAUGCAUCAUGUUCUCGA